AAGGUUUACCCACAUUACCGCACUGUUGUGUUCAGGCAUUCAGCGUCCAGCCUGGCAAGCAGCGGCUCAUUUGUUUGAUUCUGAAGUUUACAUUUGGAAUUAUUGCAUAUAUUAAUUGUGCAAUUUGUUUUGCAGGUCUCAAGCCUUAUGCACUCGAAAGAAACGGAUGCAGUGCAGAAAGGGAUCACUUAAUGCAGUGUGGAGGACGUUUAGAGGACACCCUUGAGAGAUGACUCUGCAAUAAUCUGCCAAAGUCUUUGGUUUCAUUCAUGCUCAAAAGAAGAAAUAACAUGGUAAGGACGUCAAGAAGCAUAGCGUCAGACCAAACAAGCCUUUCAGAAAGAAGCAAGUGACAGCUUCACUCUUCAUCAUGCCCUUUCUGCCAGAGGAAAAGAGAAGAGAAAGACAAUUGUUUGGAAGGAUCCUGUUGGGGAAGCCCUUUCUGCAGAUUCUGAUGCCCUCCAGCACACCGUUACAGCGCAGCUGGUGCAUGACCAGAGGAUUCUCCAUCGCCCCUGGAGUCUUAGUCUCAUUGGGGAUGAUGCAGCGUACAAAGUGAGGCGGUGAAACUAAAGCAGUCAUGGCCUUGCUGUGAUAUCCUGUGCAUGCAUCCACCAUCACAAGACAAGCGAGACAUAUGAGGUAUCGUCUUUCUGUCGGGUCAAACGUUUGGUUUCCUGCCCAGUCCUGCUGCAUAUGUGCCCCUGUCACGGUGUAAAUUACCUUAGAGGUUAAAUUAAUAAAACACAGUUGGCUCACUCA